rnacentral:rRNA from 1 species
GCAGUCGAACGAUGACUCUCUAGCUUGCUAGAGAUGAUUAGUGGCGGACGGGUGAGUAACAUUUAGGAAUCUACCUAGUAGUGGGGGAUAGCUCGGGGAAACUCGAAUUAAUACCGCAUACGACCUACGGGUGAAAGGGGGCGCAAGCUCUUGCUAUUAGAUGAGCCUAAAUCAGAUUAGCUAGUUGGUGGGGUAAAGGCCCACCAAGGCGACGAUCUGUAACUGGUCUGAGAGGAUGAUCAGUCACACCGGAACUGAGACACGGUCCGGACUCCUACGGGAGGCAGCAGUGGGGAAUAUUGGACAAUGGGGGCAACCCUGAUCCAGCCAUGCCGCGUGUGUGAAGAAGGCCUUUUGGUUGUAAAGCACUUUAAGCAGGGAGGAGAGGCUAAUGGUUAAUACCCAUUAGAUUAGACGUUACCUGCAGAAUAAGCACCGGCUAACUCUGUGCCAGCAGCCGCGGUAAUACAGAGGGUGCGAGCGUUAAUCGGAAUUACUGGGCGUAAAGCGAGUGUAGGUGGCUCAUUAAGUCACAUGUGAAAUCCCCGGGCUUAACCUGGGAACUGCAUGUGAUACUGGUGGUGCUAGAAUAUGUGAGAGGGAAGUAGAAUUCCAGGUGUAGCGGUGAAAUGCGUAGAGAUCUGGAGGAAUACCGAUGGCGAAGGCAGCUUCCUGGCAUAAUAUUGACACUGAGAUUCGAAAGCGUGGGUAGCAAACAGGAUUAGAUACCCUGGUAGUCCACGCCGUAAACGAUGUCUACUAGCCGUUGGGGUCCUUGAGACUUUAGUGGCGCAGUUAACGCGAUAAGUAGACCGCCUGGGGAGUACGGCCGCAAGGUUAAAACUCAAAUGAAUUGACGGGGGCCCGCACAAGCGGUGGAGCAUGUGGUUUAAUUCGAUGCAACGCGAAGAACCUUACCUGGUCUUGACAUAGUGAGAAUCUCUCAGAGAUGAGAGAGUGCCUUCGGGAACUCACAUACAGGUGCUGCAUGGCUGUCGUCAGCUCGUGUCGUGAGAUGUUGGGUUAAGUCCCGCAACGAGCGCAACCCUUUUCCUUAUUUGCCAGCGGGUUAAGCCGGGAACUUUAAGGAUACUGCCAGUGACAAACUGGAAGGAAGGCGGGGACGACGUCAAGUCAUCAUGGCCCUUACGACCAGGGCUACC